rnacentral:rRNA from 1 species
UGAAUCAUCGAAUCUUUGAACGCACCUUGCGCUCCUUGGUAUUCCGAGGAGCAUGCCUGUUUGAGUGUCAUG